GGAACAUCAACUUGUUAUUUUGUUUGAUUGAUUAUCAGGUUAUUUCCAACUUGAAGGAAUUAAAGUUAAACAUAGUCGAAAUAGGAAAAAUUUUACAGGAAGACCAGAUUCCUGCAGAACUCUUUCACAGCCUAAAAGUAGUUGAGCUGCAAUGUUUUCAUGAUGGAUUUACAUUUUUCCCAUUUGACAUGCUUCUGAUAGUCCUAAAUAUGGAAAAACUUCUUGUGUCAUAUUGUUGUUUCAAAGACUUGUUCACAGUCGGACUUCUUGGUCAGGAGGAACAAACACUUAAAACUGGGUUAUCUUCCCAAUCUUUGGUACUUAUGGAACCAAGAAACCCAACCGGAUCAAAUUCUUCCAAAC
rnacentral:misc_RNA from 1 species